GCCGGGCGCGGUGGCGGCAAGCCUGGAGUUCCAGCUACUCCGGAGGCUAAGGCUGGAGGAUCACUUGAUCCUAGGAGUUACCGGCAGUAGUGAGUAAUGCCGAGCGGGUGUCCGCACUAAGUUGGGCAUCAAUAGGGUGACCUCCAUGGAGUGGGGGUCCUCCAGGUUGCCUAGGCAGGAUGAACCUGCCCAGGUCCGAAAUGGAGCAGGUCAAAACUCAGGUGCCGAUCAGUAGUGGGAUCACGCCUGUGAAUAGCCACUGCUCUCCAGCCUGGGCAACAUAGCGAGACCCCCCUCU
rnacentral:SRP_RNA from 1 species